GCGGGGGUGGUGGAAUUGGCAGACACGCCAGACUUAGGAUCUGGUGCCUUAGGGCUUGGGGGUUCAAGUCCCCCCUUCCGCA
rnacentral:tRNA from 1 species